GACGAACGCUGGCGGCGUGCUUAACACAUGCAAGUCGAACGAAGAGCGAUGGAAGCUUGCUUCUAUCGAUCUUAGUGGCGAACGGGUGAGUAACGCGUAAUCAACCUGCCCUUCAGAGGGGGACAACAGUUGGAAACGACUGCUAAUACCGCAUACGAUCUAAUCUCGGCAUCGAGGAUAGAUGAAAGGUGGCCUCUACAUGUAAGCUAUCACUGAAGGAGGGGAUUGCGUCUGAUUAGCUAGUUGGAGGGGUAACGGCCCACCAAGGCGAUGAUCAGUAGCCGGUCUGAGAGGAUGAACGGCCACAUUGGGACUGAGACACGGCCCAGACUCCUACGGGAGGCAGCAGUGGGGAAUCUUCCGCAAUGGACGAAAGUCUGACGGAGCAACGCCGCGUGAGCGAUGACGGCCUUCGGGUUGUAAAGCUCUGUUAAUCGGGACGAAAGGCCUUCUUGCGAAUAGUGAGAAGGAUUGACGGUACCGGAAUAGAAAGCCACGGCUAACUACGUG
rnacentral:rRNA from 1 species